UAUCAAAUGGGAGUAAUGACUGGACCGAUCUCAGAGUUUUGAGGACUGGAUAACCCGUACAGAACGCUGGGAAAGGCGUCCUACGAGCAGCUAGGCUGCCGCCCCCUUGGAUGCUGUGGUUGUUGGGCGGGUGACCGACCGACCUCACCUGGGGUCUGUGUGCCUUCCGAACCCGCUUUCAAAGCGCUUCUUAAAUGCAACCCAGCUGGCCCCUGAGCGCCAGUCUUCCGCCUCCAGGAAGCCCUCCGGGGCCCCCGCCCCAGCGCGCCCCAGCGCGCCCCCGCUCCGCCCUUUCCCGGGCAUCUGGAGUGCUGCUCCCGCCCCACGCGGGCAUCACCGGUGUCGGGGGCGCCCAGGCGGAAAUCCCCCAGCGCCUCGAGUCCCGGCGGAGCCGAGCCGCACGGGAGCCGCGGCGGCCG
rnacentral:lncRNA from 1 species